rnacentral:sRNA from 1 species
CCAGGCCACUAGUGCCGCUGCAUGGGCAAC